ACCUAAAAAGUUUAAAAUUUCUACUGGAACGAUGCAUAGUUGUAGGCGAAUAUCAUAGGUGGAUCGCUAAGUUAGCGGGUUAUGAUUUUGACAUCUUUUACCGACCCGAUAAAGAAAACGAAGUGGCAGACAAACUCUCACGGAGAAGGGAGGAGGUCGAAAUUAGUGAAUUAGUAAUAUCCACGCCAAGCGGCCUGUAACGGCUGGAUCCUGUGAUUUUGAAGCUUGAGAAGGAAGGAGAAGCUUGAGGAUUCAAGAGGAAGUCAGUAGAUCCGAAAGUUGAGCUGCAUUUCUGACUCAUUUGAGGUCCUUCUUCUUCGAAGGGAAAGGAGCCAACACGAUAACAGCGCAUCGCACACACAAUUUUCCGCACUGGAGAUUCUUGGGAUUUGUACUUUGACAUUAUUUUCCUAUGAUAUGCUUUUGAGAUGGUUG